CCCAGUUUCAGGAAUAAUUGGUGCAGAUUUCAUAAAACAGCACACUGUCUUUGUUAGUCAAAAUUUUGACUAUAUUGCAUUAAAAAAAUGUGGAGACAGCAAUAACCAACAGGAAGAACUGAUCAGUGACAAUCUAAGAAAUCGUCAAUAUAAUCGCAAUAAUGAAAUCUCUUUCUUUAACAACACGCAAUCGGAAAUGAAAACAAUGGCUAAGCGAAAUGCAAUAAAUUUUAAUGCAAGACAUGAGAAUUAUAAAAUCCAAAAUUUUAACAGCAUGGAUUUACAAAACGAAGAAGAGGAUUAUCAAGUCACAAGGGAAUUGGAUUUGGAUAGUGGUAGAGAUUAUGAUUUAUUGGAACACAAAAGCUGCCAAAUGUUAAAAGGUCAAGAACGAAUGAACAAAAUACUAAGCAUUGUGGAUUUGAAACACCUUAACAAUGGGUUGUUGGAUGAAAUCAAAUGUAUCAUAAAACGCUACAAUAAUCUGUUUUUCAUAGAAGGCGAUGACUUAACUUACACGAACAUGGCAACUCAUGAAAUAGAAACAACGACGAAUAUACCAAUAAAUAAAAGGCAAUAUAGAAUGCCAGAGUCCACAAAAAGGCACAUUGAUGAACAAAUUGAUGAGAUGCUGAAAUUAAAGAUAAUCAAACCAAGCAAGAGUCCGUGGAAUGCUCCAGUUUUAUGUGUGCCCAAAAAGGAUGACGCUAAUGGUAACAAGCGAUAUCGAAUUGUAGUAGAUUUCAGAGCACUAAAUACGAUAACAAAACAAUAUGUGUUUCCGAUUCCACUAAUCAAUGAAAUUUUAGAUAACAUUGGAGAUAGCCAAUAUUUUUCUUCAAUCGAUCUUAAGUCAGGAUUCUAUCAAAUUCCUAUUAACCCAAAAGAUGCAUCUAAAACAGCAUUUUCAACAUCUAAGGGACACUUUGAAUUCAAUCGCAUGCCAAUGGGUUUGAAAAACAGUCCAUCAACUUUUCAAAAAUUAAUGAAUACAAUUUUAUACGAAAUUCAACCAGUCAAAGCUUUUGUGUAUCUGGAUGAUAUUGUUAUUUUUGGAAAAACAAUUCAGGAACAUAAUGAGAAUUUAUGUAAAGUUCUAGAAGCUCUUAAAAGGAAUAAUUUGAAAAUAGAGCCUGAGAAAUGCAAUAUUCUCAAAACAGAGAUAAAAUACUUAGGCCAUAUCAUUGAUAAGAAUGGAAUUAGACCUACAGAUGAGAAUAUUAAAACUAUUCAGAAGAUGGAAAAACCAAAAACAAUUAAAGGUGUUCGAUCAUUUUUAGGAACGGUAAAUUUUUAUGGAAAAUUCAUUCCUAAUAUGGCAGAUAAGCGAAAACCGUUGAACAAUCUGCUUAAGAAAAAUGUAAAAUUUAGAUGGACGGACGAAUGUGAUGUAGCAUUCAAUCAGUUAAAAGAAUGUUUAAUAUCGGAACCAAUAUUAGUGCGUCCAAAUUAUCAGGAUACUUUCGUUAUUACCACAGAUGCGAGUGACUAUGCUAUUGGAGCAGUUCUCUCAAAUGAGAAAACAACUGAUCAUCCAAUUGCUUAUGCGAGUAGAGCAUUAAUUGGAGCCGAGCUUCGGUACUAUAUAAUUGAAAAAGAAUUGCUUGCAAUUGUAUGGGCUAUUGAAUAUUUUAAACAUUUUGUUUUCAAUCAAAAAUUUAUUGUGUACACGGAUCAUAGACCAUUAAUUGCCAUAUGGAGACUAAAAGAAAAUUCUUCAACCCUUUCUAAACUAAGGUUGAAAAUCCAGGGACUAAAUUGUGAAAUCAGAUACAAGCAAGGUAAAGAAAAUGUCGUGGCAGAUUUCUUAUCCAGGCUUGAACAGCCAAAAGUUGAGAAGGAAACCAAUUCUCAACAAUACAAUGAUGAAGAAGCACCAAAACAAGAGUCUAAUUUAAUUGGAGUUUUGACACGAUUCCAAAAGAGAUGCCAAAACCAGAAUAGUAUUGUUCAUCCUCCAACACAAUUAUCAGAAAACAAAUGUGAUGCAGAGAAGCCUGAUGACAAAGAAAAAUCUGAUGAUAAUCAAAAUCAAAACCAGAUGCAAAGCAAUGACGAUGAUACGGCAUUUAACGACCUAAUGAACAUUGAUAUUAAUUUGGAUGAUUCAUUAGAGGUGGAGCAAAAUAAAGAUGAGGAAGAAAUUUUUGACUCAGAAGUUGAUUAUAAUUUGCUCAAAUUUAAUAAAAAUAAAAUGAAAUUGAACGAGGUGGAUGCUACAAUAGCAAUUCUAAAUAGCAGAACUGCAUUCAAAGAGUUGCAGGAAUUAAUUGAUCUACCACAUGGAUUUAAAGAUUUUCUUUCAGGCGAAGUAAUUUCCAUGCCAAAAGAUAAGAUAUGGGGAAUUAUACUAAAUGGUUCUAAACAAUCUGCUUUAGAAUCUAGAAAGUUAUUCAAUACUUUGAGAAAUAUCCUACGAAAUAAUGUGGAUUUUUCCAAUUCUGGUACUAAUAUUCAAAUAAUCUCUUUCAGAAAAAUAAAAUCGUCGCAAGAUUUUGACAUAUUAUGCCAUAUUGCAAAAAAGUUUAAUAAAGUUUUUCAUUUGUAUAGUUCUGAUUCAGACAGAAUGUUUGUGGAACCAGAAAAUAGAGCAACAGUCCUGAAAGAAUUCCAUGAUGCCCCACUUGGAGGACAUGUUGGAAGCGAAAGAAUGCUUAAACGUUUAAGACCAUUAUUUAUUUGGGAAAAUAUGAAAAGAGAUAUUCAAAACUAUGUUAGACAAUGCGACUCAUGCCAGAAAAAUAAAAUAUGGCCGGCGAAUCGAAUACCAAUGAAAAUUACAACAACUUCAGAAGAACCAUUUCAGAAAAUCUAUAUGGAUAUUGUGGUUUUACCAGUGUCCGAAGAAAAUAAUAGGUAUGGUUUAGUAAUACAAGAUGAUUUGACAAGAUUUUUAACAGUGGUGCCAAUGAAAAAUCAGGAAAGUUACACAGUUGCGAAAGCAUUUGUUGAAAAUUUUAUUUGUCGUUUCGGUACUCCAUUAGAAUUAGUCACCGAUAACGGUUCAAACUUUGUAAGUUCAUUAAUGAAAAAUGUGUGCAAAAUUUUAAAAAUUAAAAAGAUUACCACGAGUGCAUAUCAUCCACAAGCUAAUUUAGUGGAACGAUCGAACCGGGAAUUGAAAAUUUACCUCAGACAGUACAUUGUAAGUAAUCCGUUAAUUUGGGACGAAUUACUACCAUUUUUUUCGUUCGAGUAUAAUACGACAAUCAAUUCUUCGACAGGCUAUUCCCCGUAUGAAUUACUUUACGGGAGAAAAGCGAGAAUCCCAAAUUCAGUUUAUUGUUCAAAUAACAAUGAACUAAAUUAUGCAGACUACUUGGAAGAAUUGAAAGCAAACUUCAAAAAUGUUCAUGGCAAGGCCAAAGAAAAUCUUGUUGCUUCUAAAAUUACACGAAAAGAAAUUUACGACCGACAAACUAAUAAUUGGCAGCCGAUGUGGGGAGAAUUAGUUUUAGUAAAAACCAACCCAAUUGGAGCAGGAAAAAAACUGCAAGAAUUGUGGAAAGGCCCGUAUGAAGUUGUAGACCUGCCGAGUGAGCAAACCACAAUAAUAAAAAAUGGAAAAAAAUUAGAAAAAAUACACAAUAAUCGUUUGCGAAAAUAUAACGAUUAGGCAUUCAUAUUUUAAAAUUUGAAAAUCUAACCCAAUAUAGACAUACCCAUAGCGUAAAACUGAAAUAAGUUACGUAAUGAAAGAUAAUUGUAUAAUAAAAAUAUCGUUGCAGAAAUAAUUUGAUUGACUGAUUUGUCUUUAUUGCAGUGUGCGUUCAAGAUGCAAACGGUGCCCAAAUGCGCUUCAAACGCGGUAACACAGUGUUACCAAAGGCAACUUAGCAACCAUAGUCAAUAUCACCAACCUAGGUUUCAAAUGCUCCCGCUGACAUCGGGUUACUUGUUAGAAAAUCUUACCGCAUUUGGUGCUCCCGCAUUUGAUAUUUGCAUUUUGAAGGCACACAGCAAUAUUAAAGAGACUUUCAGCCCUUGGCUGGUUCGUCUUUAUCCUAAACAAUUGCAGAAAUAACUAUAUUAUAUUUAAAAAAAAAAAAAAACCAAAUAUAUAUACAUUAAUCGUUUAACAUAAUUUAUUUACAUUUAACCAUCAUUUAACUCCGGACACGAAUGCCACAGGGGUGGUAAAGUGUCCCAAAUAAAUACUAAUAAUAAUAAUCUUAUAUAAAAUUUUAUUAACUAUAACACAAAAUAACUAUCUAAAUUUAUAUUAAUAACUGUAUAUCAUAAUAUAUUUUUAUAACUAUAAUAAUUUUCUCUCUCAAUAUUAUUCAGUUUUACUACAGCUAAUACAUAAAGAUUCUAAUUUGGGAAUAUUUGUUUUCCUUGUUAAUAACAAAGACAUUGAUCUAAUUAAAACUAAAUAUUGUAUAUAUACAAGAAUAUUAAAAAUAAAUAAUAUUAAAACCAACAAAAAAAAAAAAACAAAACAUUUUUAGGUACACCACAAAGGGUAUUUAUCAGGUAAGUGUUUAAAAAAAAAAUGAGUACUCCAACCGAUCGCAUAUUUGCUUUGAACGCGUUAUCCAUUUGUAGAUUGUGUUUUAGACAAAAAAGAGGUCUUAUAGAUAUACAAACGGAUUUAUUACUCAAUAAUCUGAUUGUGGGGUAUCUAGGGAAAGGAUCAUAUCUUAGUGACAUGGUUACUAGGAAAAUUUGCAAGAAAUGUUCAAACAGAAUAAAAAACAUUGAUGCAUGUGUAAAAUUUUUUAAAGAGGUAGAUGAAGUUAUGGAAGCAUUUAUUGAAAAUGGAUCAAUAAUUCCUAUCAUAAAUGUACCAAAGCAUGUUGGCAAAAUUGACAGACAAAUUAAAAAAAUCAUAUCAAAAGCUACACAAUGCGAUGAAAUUUCAAAUAAUCAAAAUUUAGAUCUGGAAAGGCAAGAAAAUGAACAACGAAAUAUAAACUCAGAAUCAGAGGCUGAUACGACACCGUUAAAAUUGGAAGAGCAGAUAAAUGCUAAUUCGCAAAAAAAUCAAUUCGACCAAGGCAUACCAAUGGAUAUAGAUGAAGAUGAAGAUUUAAUAUGGCAAGAAGAACUGUCAUCGGAAAUUGACGUUAAAGAAUUCAUGAUAGAUAAUUGGACCUAUGAUGUGGAUGAAUAUAAAAACACUGAAUUAAGAUCAAAUGAAUCUGAGGAAUAUAUUUCCGAAUAGAAGUAACAUUCUGUACCAUGAUGCCACAUUCUAAAUCAUGAAAAAGUUUUAUCAAAUUAUUUAAGUUUGUUUGUUUGAAGAAAUGAUUGGACAAGGUUAGUGCACACCAGAAUGAAUGCGCAGGGUAUGGACACGAGAUGUUUGAGGAUGAAAAAUAUGGAAUUGUUUUUUCCACAUUUCCGAGGUACAGAAUGUCAAUGGUAUGGUAAACCAAGCUACCACCAGGAAUACAACAUUCCUGAUUCAUCAAGGUACUGUAUCUUACGAUACUAAAAAGUUCUUGAAUGAAUAAGACAAUAAUAAUAAACAAAAUGAGCAUGCCAUGAAGCAUGAAAUAUCCACAAAUAUAAGAAAAAUGAGAAUAAGUACAAGAAUAAACGAAAAUGGCAGGGUCUGGUAAACCAAGCUACCACCAGGAAUACAGCAUUCCUGAUUCAUCAAGGUACUGUAUCCAAGGAUACAAAUAGUUCUUGAAUGAAUAUCAAAUGAGCCAUGAAAAAAAAAAAAACAAGCAAUACCUAAGGUCCAGAAAUAAAAAAAUAAUAAUAAUAAUAAAAAGAUGGUCUGGUCUGGUAAACCAAGCUACCACCAGGAAUUGAAACAUUCCUGAUUCGUCAAGGUACUGUAUCCAGUGAUACAAAUAGUUCUUGAAUGAAUAACAUGACCAUGAAACAAGAAACAAUUCCAAAUGAAUUCGUAAUGGUAAACUAAUAAAAAUAUAAAAGGGUUCGGUUUGGUAUACCCAGUUACCGCCAGGAAAAAAAAAACAACUUCCUGAUUUCAUCAAGGUACGGUACUGUAACAGUACGAUAAAGUUCUUGAAUGAAAAAAAAAAAACACAGCCAAAUAUUGCUCCCAAAGAUAAGAAGAAGGCUGUCGGUCUUGCCUGUUCCAAAUAUUAAAAAAAAAGAAAAAAAGAAAAUCAUAUAAACAUAUCAUGAAUAUAUAAAAAAAAAGAUUUGAUUUUAACAUGCAUCAAUGAUUCAAAUCGAUAAUUUAUGACCAAGUCGAUAUGAGGAAGAAUAAGAAUAAAAGUGCUGAAAACAAAAAUAAAAUCUAAUAAACUAUUUGUUCAUCUACAGAAGAAGACGCAUAAAAAAGCAUUAAUUGAAAUUCAGCAGUACAAGCAACAGACACAUAAGAGAGAAGACGAAGAGAUGAUAGGUCAAAUGCAACGGACACAGGAUGAAGAAGAAGCGAUCGUGCAGUGGAUGUUUAAGAACGAAUGUGGGUAAGAAAUCAGCAGACUCAUCAACAUAUAUAUUUUUUUCAGGAUCAAUUGUAAGAGCUAAGUUCUCUUUUACCGAAAAGUACAAAAUUAGAAAAUAUCGUCACAUAAAAAAAUAUAGGGACGUGGGGAUUAUUUUUGCGAAAGUAAUUUUUAAAUGUUAAAAAUGUUAAAGUUGAAAACUUUUUAAUAAACUGUGUUAAAUAAGAAUUUUACAAAAAAUCUUUAGAAAGGGAUAUUUAUUUUAUUUUCAACAAUUUUAAAUGUUGGAGAAUUAUUUUUUUCCAUUUAUGCUGGGGGAUGAAAAUUUCAAUUAGCAUGGUUUUUGUCAAUUAAGGGAAUUUGUUGGAAAUUUUUUUCAUAACAAUUCAUUAAAACGUGUGUUCAAUAAAAAUAAAUCAAUUGUAAAGUGCUCAUAAUCAAUAACCAAAAUAGUCGUUUGAAGCUUUUAGAUGAAUAAGAAUCAAGAGAAAACGUAGGCCAUUAGGAAGUGUGAAUAAUAAGACAAUAAUUCAAAGGCAACAAGUUUCAACCAUACAAACAUGGAUGUAUGGUAAAUGAAAGAAAAAGUUCCAGAAAUCAGCAACCAGAGGUCAACGAGCAACAUCGAAACCGUAUUAACAGGGAUGUACGGUAAUUGAAAGAAAAGUUCCAGCAUCAACAACGAGUUCAUGAUUGGCGAGUCGAUUAGGUUGGUCAAAAGGGUUAACUGAGCAUCAAACAUCAAACAUCAGGGUCAACGGAGCAUAUCUUCUACAGUCAAAGCAAAUUGUUGCAGAAAGUGUCAAUACGCGGUUUUCAACCUCUUGGGACGAAAAAUGAUCGCAAAUACUUUAAAACAAAUCAGAUGAUUUUUCCCAAACACAUCAACCAUUUCAUGUAAUACCAAUUUUCGGACGAGAAAACAUCAAGAUUCUUGUAGCUGGCAUGUAAUAAAGGAUGGUUCAACAGUAGCAUAACUCCAAAAGUUGCAAUUGCCACUAGCAACGAACAAUUUCCGCCAAAGAAAUAGUCAAAAUGUUCUUAGCUGAACAAGUAUCAACAACACAACCAAUUAGAGGAAGGAUGACAUUAAAUUCAUAAACGACAGAUACAACAAACAUUUCAGCAGAAAAAGCCACAUUUUUCAAGCUGUCGUCACAUACGCAAAUUUCAACAGCAUCCUAAGGCAGCAAGAACCAAUUAUCGAUAUACCGAAAAAAAAACACAACCAACAAAAUACGUUUUUCAUCACAAUGAUUUUAAGACUAUUAAUUGGAAUCAAAAGGACAGUAUGCGUGAACAUCCUGUUUUCAAUGGAACAGCUGUUAAAGCAAGUGGGCACAAGAUUUUUCUCAUGGUAUAAACAGAAAUAAGCAGAAGUUUCAAGAAUCACGUAGAAUUGAAAUCCCAGACAAGGAGAAAAUAUCGUAACAAAUGAGAUCAACCAUAAGAAGAAAUCAAAGAAGCAGUAUGGGGAUCGCACAACAGUUAAUGAUAAUCAGCGAAAAACACAACGACGCAACGAGAAGGAGAUGCUUGGUUUUUGCCCUAAUGACUCACUGAAAGACUCAGCCAUGAUCAACAACAUCGAGACAUCGAGAUUCAUCAAAAAGCAAAGUAAUUUAUAUCACAAUUCCGAGGCGAAGGAGGUAGCGGAAUACGGAGUCAACAGUUGCCAUUUGAAUCACAGGUAUGAGUCUAGUUAAAUAAAAAAAAAAUAUUAGGAAAGAAGAAGAAUAAUAAUCUAGUUUUAAAACUUGUAAGGAUUAACAUUAGCUAGAAAAUGGUCAGCCAAGGAUAUUAUCGAAUCAGAUUCAAUAGAAACAAAACAAGAGCACUAUAAAUAUAAUAUUUAUAAGCAGAAGCAAAGCAGUAUGUAAAUCAACUCUUAUUCGAAAAACGAAAAAACCUCAUAGGACCAGAAACAGGACCAACAUUUUAAAAAAUUAAGAAAUUUUAAGAAAUUUCUUAAUUUUUUUGCGGGAAAAGUAAGGGAAUGCAACAAACCGCUGAAUUGAGAUUCAGCAAUUUAUUGCCAAGAUGAUAAUUUUUGCCAUUUUUCGGGAAUGGGGCAUACGUCACCCUUUUCCCCAAUCAAUUGCAACAAUUUUGCAUUUUUCGCUCAUGACGAAAUAAGGGAUAUGAAGAAUGCCAAAGGAAAAAGAUUUCUUGAGCCCACACGAUGUGUGGAGCACAAUGACACCAAUUGUUAGAAACACGGACGGAAAGCGCCCAGAAGGAGAAGAGUCAGGAAUUCAAGAAUGACUCGAGAAAGGGAAACCAACAUUUUGGGAUCUCGGCUUUUAAUUUAUGGCAUAAACAUUGGGCAUGGUUUUCAACAUAUGUUGAAGCCUUCUCUGCCUGUAUUCGGGGUGACGAAAUUCAAGUACCUACAGGGUUGUCUUGAUGAAAUAAACAAUUGCCUAGAAAUCCGAUCGCUAACGACGGGAGGCUAGAACUACAGGUUUUUCUUUCGGGUCGUAAAUUAUACAAGACUUCACACGCAGAGGAUUUUUGCUGAUUAUGCAACAACCUCAAGCCGAUAUGGAAAUGAAGGGAUGAUCGUAAAAUGGGUUGAGAAGAAUGAUCUGAUUGUUUUUGCAACAAGAAAAAGCUUGGAAAUGCAUAACCUUCCCCGAAAGAGAAAGGUAAUCACAGACGACGAUCAUAAUUGGAUUGUAAAAUUAUGUUUAUGGACGACCGUCCA